GACGAACCGUCCUAACGUUAUUCGGAAUCACUGGGCUUAAAGGGUGCGUAGGCGGCCAAUUAAGUAGGGUGUGAAAGGUUACGGCUCAACCGUGACAUUGCGCUCUAGACUGAUUGGCUCGAGUGAGAUAGGGGUGUGCGGAACUUCCAGUGGAGCGGUGAAAUGUGUUGAUAUUGGAAGGAACGCCGGUGGCGAAAGCGGCACACUGGGUCUUAACUGACGCUGAGGCACGAAAGCCAGGGGAGCGAACGGG
rnacentral:rRNA from 1 species